CAGCCGCCGCGGGAAUACGGAGGGUGCAAGCGUUAAUCGGAAUUACUGGGCGUAAAGGGCGCGUAGGCGGGUCUUUAAGUCAGGGGUGAAAUCCUGGAGCUCAACUUCAGAACUGCCAUUGAUACUGAAGAUCUUGAGUUCGGGAGAGGUGAGUGGAACUGCGAGUGUAGAGGUGAAAUUCGUAGACAUUCGGAAGAACACCAGUGGCGAAGGCGACUCGCUGGACAAGUAUCGACGCUGAGGUGCGAAAGCUAGGGGAGCAAACAGGAUUAGAUACCCCGGUAGUCCCUGUCUCUUAUAC
rnacentral:rRNA from 1 species